rnacentral:sRNA from 1 species
AUUGCCGGUGCUUGACGUUUCAACGCGCGGCGUCGGAUAGCCUUCAAUGAGAGACGCGGCCAACAAAGCCUCCGUUUGUUCGGCCACGAAGGGAUAGAUCGC